GACGAACGCUGGCGGCGUGCCUAAUACAUGCAAGUCGAGCGAGCUUGCCUAGAUGAAUUUGGUGCUUGCACCAAAUGAAACUAGAUACAAGCGAGCGGCGGACGGGUGAGUAACACGUGGGUAACCUGCCCAAGAGACUGGGAUAACACCUGGAAACAGAUGCUAAUACCGGAUAACAACACUAGACGCAUGUCUAGAGUUUAAAAGAUGGUUCUGCUAUCACUCUUGGAUGGACCUGCGGUGCAUUAGCUAGUUGGUAAGGUAACGGCUUACCAAGGCAAUGAUGCAUAGCCGAGUUGAGAGACUGAUCGGCCACAUUGGGACUGAGACACGGCCCAAACUCCUACGGGAGGCAGCAGUAGGGAAUCUUCCACAAUGGACGCAAGUCUGAUGGAGCAACGCCGCGUGAGUGAAGAAGGGUUUCGGCUCGUAAAGCUCUGUUGGUAGUGAAGAAAGAUAGAGGUAGUAACUGGCCUUUAUU
rnacentral:rRNA from 1 species